AUCUUAGUGGAUUUCAGGGAUUAGAUUUAUAUCUUUUUGCUGCUGUUCCCCAUUUUCCACUGUGCUACCUCAGCAUGUGGGAUUUGUGUGUAGCACAGCAGAUCUCAAGAUGACUGGAUUUUAUACUGGGUUUGUGGAAGCCGUGCUCUGUAGAUGUUAUUUCUGACUGUAUUAUAGGCAUUUAUUUACAUCACUUAUGAUUUCAUGUCGUCACAUGGAUCUUUUUGUCGGGAAAAGCUAUAAGCCGAUGCCCAGAACUGUCUUUUUUCUUCAUACAUCAUCUUUCUUCACUAACUUGAAGCUUGGAGGAUGCAAAUUAUUGACUUUUAAACUCCUUUACUGAGAGCUUUACCACCUAUACUUUUUUACAAGGAUUCAUGGAACAUUAAGAUGCAGUCGAUGCAUAUAACACUGGUGCUUUAAAUGUUCUUUGCUGGUGUUUUGCAGUUGUUGAGACUCAAGUUGCAAUAUAUAGGAUAAAAGAUAUUUCCAUCAAACUUCUACCUUCAGGCUCUUUUGUUUUAUCUCCCCCCCCACUGAACUUAUCAGGUGGGGGGGGAAGGGGUAAGGCCCAAACCAUGGAGUCCAACCCAGACAGCCCGAGUCGGGCUGUGGAGUAUCUUCUGGAGCUCAAUAACAUCAUCGAGAACCAGGCCAAACUUCUAGAGACACAGCGUAAACGUAUCGAGGAGCUCCAAACGCAGCUAGACCGGGUCAACCAGGAGAACCAGGACCUGCGGCAGGACCGAAACCCGGGAACCGAGAACUCGACGCAGAACCACAACUACAACCAGAGCUCUAAGCCCAGCCAGCCGUCAUCACUACCAAACCACAGUGCUGGAGGUGUCCAUCAGAACAGCAGCAGUAAUAUACCCUCAUCCACGGUGCCUGGUCCAGCUCGACGGAAUCACAGCAGACUGACCCGAGGCCUGUCAUGUGGGUCAGCCCCUGUCGAGGAGAGAGGCCGACUGGAGCGAAAUGACAGCUCUGGGACCAACAACACCUCCACUCUACGGAAACAAGGUGUCAGACUACACUCAUCCUCCAGCUGCUCCACAAUCACUCAUCUCUCCUCAGCUUCCACCUUCAGUUCCCAUCCGCCAGCUAAAAGCCGCAGUCACCAUCAGUUCUGCUGCCCUUCCAGGCUGGGCAGACCCGAGCCACCCUCCAGCAGGUGCUCAGAGCGGGCCAGGUAA
rnacentral:lncRNA from 12 species